ACGGGAGGCAGCAGUGGGGAGUAUUGGGCAAUGGGCGAAAGCCUGACCCAGCGACGCCGCGUGAAGGAAGAAGGCCUUCGGGUUGUAAACUUCAGUCAACAGGGAAGAAGAAAAUGACGGUACCUGUGGAGGAAGCCACGGCUAACUACGUGCCAGCAGCCGCGGUAAUACGUAGGUGGCGAGCGUUAUCCGGAUUUACUGGGUGUAAAGGGUGUGUAGGCGGGAUUGCAAGUCAGAUGUGAAAAUUAUGGGCUUAACUCAUAACCUGCAUUUGAAACUGUAAUUCUUGAGUGUCGGAGAGGUAAAUGGAAUUCCCAGUGUAGCGGUGAAAUGCGUAGAUAUUGGGAGGAACACCAGUGGCGAAGGCGGUUUACUGGACGACAACUGACGCUGAGACACGAAAGCGUGGGGAGCAAACAGGAUUAGAUACCCUGGUA
rnacentral:rRNA from 1 species